rnacentral:rRNA from 1 species
GAUGAACGCUGGCGGCGUGCCUAAUACAUGCAAGUCGAGCGAACAGACGAGGAGCUUGCUCCUCUGACGUUAGCGGCGGACGGGUGAGUAACACGUGGAUAACCUACCUAUAAGACUGGGAUAACUUCGGGAAACCGGAGCUAAUACCGUAUAAUAUAUUGAACCGCAUGGUUCAAUAGUGAAAGACGGUUUUGCUGUCACUUAUAGAUGGAUCCGCGCCGCAUUAGCUAGUUGGUAAGGUAACGGCUUACCAAGGCAACGAUGCGUAGCCGACCUGAGAGGGUGAUCGGCCACACUGGAACUGAGACACGGUCAAGACUCCUACGGGAGGCAGCAGUAGGGAAUCUUCCGCAAUGGGCGAAAGCUUGACGGAGCAACGCCGCGUGAGUGAUGAAGGUCUUCGGAUCGUAAAACUCUGUUAUUAGGGAAGAACAAAUGUGUAAGUAACUAUGCACGUCUUGACGGUACCUAAUCAGAAAGCCACGGCUAACUACGUG